AUUGAACGCUGGCGGCAGGCCUAACACAUGCAAGUCGAGCGAGCGGCGGAGAGGGGAGUAAUGGCUAGGAAACUGUCUGUGGGAGGGGGAUAAAAACUGGAAACGGUAUCGAAAACCGCACACAAUCAGAUGUGCCCAGAUGGGAUUAGCUAGUCGGUGGGGUAACGGCUCACCUAGGGGACGAUCCCUAGCUGGUCUGAGAGGAUGACCAGCCACACUGGAACUGAGACACGGUCCAGACUCCUACGGGAGGCAGCAGUGGGGAAUAUUGCACAAUGGGCGCAAGUCUGAUGCAGCCAUGCCGCGUGUGUGAAGAAGGCCUUCGGGUUGUAAAGCACUUUCAGCGGGGAGGCGUUACCCGCAGAAGAAGCACCGGCUAACUCCGUGCCAGCAGCCGCGGUAAUAC
rnacentral:rRNA from 1 species